CUGGCGGCGUGCUAACACAUGCAAGUCGAACGCGAAAGGGACUUCGGUCCUGAGUAAAGUGGCGCACGGGUGAGUAACGCGUAGAUAACCUGUCUUCAUGUCUGGAAUAAUACGCCGAAAGGGGUACUAAUACCGGAUAUUCUUUGCUUUUCAUAAGUUAUGCAAGCAAAGGUGGCCUCUGCAUAUGCUACUGCAUGAAGAGGGGUCUGCGUACCAUUAGCUAGUAGGUGGGGUAAUGGCCUACCUAGGCGACGAUGGUUAGCGGGUCUGAGAGGAUGAUCCGCCACACUGGCACUGGAACACGGGCCAGACUCCUACGGGAGGCAGCAGUGAGGAAUAUUGCGCAAUGGGGGAAACCCUGACGCAGCGACGCCGCGUGAGUGAGGAAAGGCCUUCGGGUCGUAAAGCUCUGUCAAGAGGAAAGAAGUGUACAAUGGCUAAUACCUGUUGUAUUUGACGGUACCUCUAAAGGAAGCACCGGCUAACUCCGUGCCAGCAGCUGC
rnacentral:rRNA from 1 species